rnacentral:rRNA from 1 species
CCUACGGGGUGCUGCAGUGGGGAAUAUUGGACAAUGGGCGAAAGCCUGAUCCAGCCAUGCCGCGUGUGUGAAGAAGGCCUUCGGGUUGUAAAGCACUUUCAGUGGGGAAGAAAGCCUUGGGGCUAAUACCCUCGAGGAAGGACAUCACCCACAGAAGAAGCACCGGCUAACUCCGUGCCAGCAGCCGCGGUAAUACGGAGGGUGCGAGCGUUAAUCGGAAUUACUGGGCGUAAAGCGCGCGUAGGCGGUCUGAUAAGCCGGUUGUGAAAGCCCCGGGCUCAACCUGGGAACGGCAUCCGGAACUGUCAGGAUAGAGUGCAGGAGAGGAAGGUAGAAUUCCCGGUGUAGCGGUGAAAUGCGUAGAGAUCGGGAGGAAUACCAGUGGCGAAGGCGGCCUUCUGGACUGACACUGACGCUGAGGUGCGAAAGCGUGGGUAGCAAACAGGAUUAGAUACCCGUGUAGUC